rnacentral:rRNA from 1 species
AGAGUUUGAUCAUGGCUCAGAUUGAACGCUGGCGGCAUGCCUUACACAUGCAAGUCGAACGCGAAAGCGGGGCAACCCGCAMGUAGAGUGGCGAACGGGUGAGUAAUACAUCGGAACAUUUCCAGUAGCGGGGGAUAACCUGUCGAAAGAUAGGCUAAUACCGCAUACGCCCUACGGGGGAAAGCGGAGGACCGCAAGGCUUCGCACUAUUGGAGUGGCCGAUGUCGGAUUAGCUAGUUGGCGGGGUAAAAGCCCACCAAGGCUACGAUCCGUAGCUGGUCUGAGAGGACGAUCAGCCACACUGGAACUGAGACACGGUCCAGACUCCUACGGGAGGCAGC